GGGGGCAGGGCGGGAGAGAUGGCCCACCCCUCUCUUCUUCGCCUUCUUUCACCUUUUCCAGGUCCAGGGAAUUUUCUAAAUUGUCGUACUGCUAUUUCUUUCUCCCACUGUUCUUCCUCAUCUCUCCAGCUCCAGUUGUAAGUGGAGCUUUACAUUUAAGGGGCUGACAUUUCCCAGUUCCAAUGCCAUGUCUCCUUGCUUCUCAAAACCGAGGCAAUUAAUUAUCUCUUAGGUUACAAUCCUGAACCAUCAACCCCUACCCAUUCAUACCAGGAACUAGCUCCAACUUUUUCUUCCUCUUCUCAGUUAUAACUCUCAUUCUGUCCUGGCCUCCAUUCUUUCGUCCACGUCCCCCCGCCUUCAGAGUCUUUGAUUCUUUGACAUAUAUUAUAACAAAACCCAAUCCUGGGAAGCCUUGCUCAGAAUCUCACUCAGGUUGUAAUGGAUGUAACUUCUGCUUAGAACUUGGCUGAGGGUUUGCUGUGGCCUUCUCCCAGAGCCUGAAAUGGGGAAGAUGCAGGCAAAUCUCUCCUUCUCCAACCCAAACAAACAGAUUUCAGGAGAAUCAGGGUGAAAAUACUUUCCAGGUUUGUUUUUCUUUUCUUGUUCCCUCCUGAACCCUUUUGCCCCUCUGGUUUGGGAGAAAAGUGCUAAGAAAAUCAGCCUCCUAGCUCAGCGUCCCUCCACCCUCCCGCCCCCUUGACAACCUGUCCUCUCCGGAUCUCAGAUAUCUGCCACCGACUGGCUUUAUUCCCAAGUCCUACUCCGGCAUUGGAGUCAGGCUAUUAGGGUUCUCUUCGGGGCUCUAUCGUUUGACAGUAUCCUGGGAACGCAGUCCUAGGUAUGUACCCAUGUGGUGAGUAGCUUCAAUCACAUUCAUCUCGCUACCCUCUGUUUCCUGCUCCAUAAAGGAGAGCUAAUGGAGAGGAAGCAUAGGGUUUUAAGAGUGCCCUGUAAGACUCUGCUUUGCCCCUUCCUAGCGGUGCAACCUCAUCAGCUUCCAACAGUUUCUCAUCUGUUAAAUGGAGAUAAUAAUAGUCCUUAUUUCAUAGAGCUCUUGAGGGUUAAAAGAGUUAAUAUGUAUGAAGAAUUGAGACUAGAGGCUGGUAUAUAAUUAGCACAACCUAAGUGUUAACUGGUAUUGUUAUUACCUCACAGGCUUGUUGUGGGGAUCAAAUGAUACUAUAGCUAAAAUAUCACUCUCUAUUCAUUCAUGCAUCUAUUCAUGUAUCUAUUUAUUCAUUCACUCUCCUGAAUCACAUGGGAGGCUUGGGGCUACAACUGGGAAACAAACACUAUCCUUCCUUUCCUUGCUUACAGACAAUGAAUCAAGCAGAUUAUUUCCUGGGAGCAUGUUUUUAUUGCCUGGCUCAGUGUUGGGGCUGAGGGGGAACAGAAUAGGGUAAAACUGUGUGUGAGCUCAGGGAAUUUCUAACAGGAAGUCUCAACUACUAAAGAAAUUUGCAACUAGAGCAGGUGAUGCAUGAGCCCAAGUCCUGUUGGGCAAGUGGGUCCUUUGGGCCAGGGACAGAGAAUCUUCACACUUCUAGAAACUUCCAUGGUGGAUAUGGAAGUGGCCCAUUGCUUGGGCACCAGGCUGUAUGCACCUGGUGGUUUUAUGUGGCUCACAUAUUUGUCUUUUUGAUUGCGUGGAUUCCUCUGUAGAAAACAAAACAAAACAAUAAAACGGGUGCUGUGUUUCUCUGGCCCCCCUGAAAGAUAUAAAUCUCUUUCUCUGUUUACUUAGAACACUUGCAUCUACUCUUUUGCUUUCCAUUUUUGUCAGAUGAUAAACACUAGCCAUGGUCAUUGCAGUAGAGCAUCCUAUAGCCAAAUCAAACAGUUGCGAUGGAAAGCCCUCCUCUCAGCCUGUCCUGCUCCCCCCCAGGUGUGUGUCUUUUCUGGGUACAGAGUCUCUAAUGGCUGCUGCAUGGACCAACUUAGUCUUCGUGUUAUAGCCAGAUAACCAUGUUGUGAGCAAAUGUCAUGUAACAUUUACUGGCGGAACACAAAGUGCUCUUGAGAGCCCCCCCCCAUUCCCCGCCUGCCCGUGCUUUGAGAUUAAAACACAUUUUAUGGUUAGAAUCUGGAAAAAGAGCGAGAGAGUCUGGACCAAAAAAAAAAAAAAAAAUAGCUGUUAGCAGUGGAGUCGUGUGCAAAACGGGACAGGCAAUAGCACAUGUGCAACGUUUUCCAUGUAAUCUCGGCUUCCUUGGGAAGCAUCCGCCAGCAUGUGGAGUCUAAGGCAGUCGCAGGUGUCAGGGAGCAGAGGGUGAGGUUUCUUUUUUUCCCAAGUGCGGAGGGAGCAGACUCGAUUGAAUCUGUCACUUGAUGUCCUUCUCCUCAAAAAUAGUGCUCGGAGGCCCUCAGGGACUUUUUUUAGAGGCUCUUAGGAGCUUGGCAGUAUGUAAAUUAUGCGUGAGUGUCCUUCAUAGUUCCCCGUGGUCACAAUCAGAGGGAUUUAAACAUGAUUUAGCCUUUCGGAUGAUUUGUGGGAGCACUGGAGCCAGCCAGUGCAGUGGUGAGAGCCCAGGCUGGGCUUCUCACCAUUGCAUUAAAUAGGUCUUGGCUGCUCGGUCCUUUCUCCUCCUGACCUUGGAGUUGGUCUGCAAGUGGCUCCCCACCCCCCCUGCCCCCACUGCCCCCGCGUUGGUGAGGGGCCUCCCAAAUGUCUUUACCAUAUCAGGGAGCUCUGAGAUGUUUCCAAAUGGAAGGAUUUGUAGCUUUAAAAUAUACACUUCAAGAGUUCCCUGGUGGCUCAGUGGGUUAAGGAUCUGGCAUGGUCACUGCUGUGGCUCAAUCCCUGGCCUGGGACCUUCCAUGUGCCACAGGCACAGCCAAAAAAAAAAAAAAAAGUUAAAAAAAAUACAAUUCAAUGGGGCGCAAAGUUUGCCAUUCAUUCAAUCCUCCAUUCAUUCAACCAACUUUUUUUUUUUUUUUUGUCUUUUUGCUAUUUCUUUGGGCCGCUCCCACAGCAUAUGGAGGUUCCCAGGCUAAGGGUCGAAUCGGAGCUGUAGCCACUGGCCUACGCCAGAGCCACAGCAACGCGGGAUCCCAGCCGUGUCUGCAACCUACACCACAGCUCACGGAAACACCGGAUCGUUAACCCACUGAGCAAGGGCAGGGACCGAACUUGCAACCUCAUGGGUCCUAGUCGGAUUCGUUAACCACUGCACCACGACGGGAACUCCUCAACCAACUUUUAUUGCGUGCCUACUAUAUAGGUAUUUAGUGUUCACUGCGCUCCAUAUAGGUAUUUUAGGCAUGAAUGAUAUAAUUGUGAACCAGACAGAUAAGGUCUCUGGUCUUCUGAAGCCAGCAUUCUAAUGGAGAUAGAGAUUUUAAAAAUGCAGUAUGCGUAGAGAUCUAUGUGUAUAGAGUGUAUAAAAUUGCAUGAAGUGAUGGAGAGUGAUUCGGAUGGAGGCAUAAGGAGAAAUAUUUGGAGGGAUCAGGGAAGACCUUGGGUGAAGUGAGUUCUGUGUUGAGGUGUGAACGAUGAGCUGAGCAGAAAUGUCAGGACGUGAGCAUUCCAGGCUAAGGAAAGAGCAACUGCAAAGACCCCGAGAAGUUUGGCUUGGAGAAGUUUGCUUCUUUUCCUUCUUCCCUUUUCCACUCCUCCUCCUUGUUAUUAUACUUUCAGGAGGCUUGGGGAACUUAAAUAUCUUUUUUUUUUUUUAAUUGGUUUUUCCAGGACUUUCCACUGUGGCUCAGCAGGUUAAGAACCUGUCACAGUGUCCAUGAGGAUGCAGGUUCAAUCCCUGGCUUUGUCCAGUGGCUUAAGGAUCCAGUGUUGCCACAAGCUGCAACGUAAGUUGAAGAUGUGGCUCAGAUCUGGGGUAGCCGUGGCUGUGGCAUAGGCGUCAGCAAGCUUUGAUUUGACCCCUACCUAGCUUGGGAACUUGCAUAUGCUGUAGGUAUGGCCCUAAAAAGAAAAAAAUUGGUUUUUCCGGUUGAGUGGAUAAAAGAAAUUGUGGAACAUCCAUGCUGAAUGAACUACUGAUACUUGCAACGAUGCGGAUGACUCUCAAAAGUAUUAUGCUGAGUGAAAGAAACCAGAACCAAAAGAAUACAUAGAGCUCUAUGUAUAUAACAUGCCAGAAAAUGCAAAUCAAUCUGUAGUGACAGAAAGCAAAUGAGUGGUUUAAUGGUUGCCCGGGGAUGGAGUGGGAGGGAAGGAGAGAUUUAAGCAUCCUAAGGAAACUUUGGGGGCGGGUAAUCGAAAUAUUUGCUGUCUCCAUUGUAGUGAUGGUUUCCCAGUGCUAUACUGAUAUUUCAAAACCGAUCAAAUUGUAUACUUUAUGUAUGUGUGGCUCAGUAUAUUCAAACUGCAGCUCAAUCAAGUUGAAAAACUAGGUUUCUCACCCCCAAACAAUGUUGGGAAUAGGUGUUCCAAAUAAGGAAUUGAAAGAGAAAAUGAAACGUUCCACUGUUGCAUUUAAACACUUGAAGCCUCAAAGUUCUUUUGAGACUUGGUCACAUUUGAGAACAAAUAUUGGCUUGAGUGGCACUGGGAUUGGUGCCUACACUGACCCUGGAAAAAGAAUCAAGAUUUCCUUGUGACUUUGAGUCAAACAAACAAACAGAAAGUCCUUUGAAUGCUGAAUACUAAUCCAGUCAUCGAAUUAGAGGACCCCAUGGGUGGUGAGAGAGACAGGGAUGGCCCCCCCGAACAGGUGCAUCCAGAUAGCGGUCAGGGUCUAAAGCUGCACUAACACCAUUCAAGCUGACUUAUGGCUUACUGAUGGGAUGAUCAUUUUGAAGUGCCAUAGAUCAUGACUUGGCCAUGAAGGAUGAUCUUUUGGUGAAAAAUCAGGUGUUUUGUUCUUUUUUUUCCUCUAAUGUGUCAUGGAACGAUACUUUUGUAGAAUACAACAAAAUAUAUAUUACUAGGAAAAAAUGGAAUGGAAAACAGAGUCACACAAGGCACAAGCCCCAAAAUGGUAUUACAGGCAUACACCUUGGAGAUAAUUGUGGGUUUGGUUCCAGACCACUGCGAUAAAGCAGAUAAAGCAAGAAAGCAAAUCACACAGAUGUUUUGGUUUCCCAAUGCAUAUAAAAGUUAUGUUUACACUACACUGUAGUCUAUUAAGUGGGCAAUAGCAUUUGUCUGAAAAAAGCAACAUACAGACCUUAAUUAAAAAUACUUUAUUGCUGGAGUUCCCACUGUGGCGCAGCAGGUUAAGGAUCCAGCAUUGUCUCAGGGGUGACUCCAGUUUGAUCCUUGGCCCUGCUCAGUGGGUUAAGGAUCUAGCAUUGCCACAGCUAUGGUGUAGGUCAAAGCUCUGGCUCGGAUUUGAUCCCUGGCCUGGGAACUUCCAUAUGCUGUGGGUGCGGCCAAUAAUAAUAAUAAUAAUAAUAAUUUAUUGCUAAAAUACGCUAACUUUCAUCCGAGCCUUUAGUGAGUUAUCAUAAUAACAUCAAAGAUCAGUGAUCACAGAUCAUCAUAACAAAUAUAAUAAAAGUGAAAAGCUUUGAAAUAUUGUGAAAAUUACUAAAAUGUGACACAGAGACAUGAAGUGGACAAAUGCUGUUAGGAAAAUGGUGCCAGUAGUUUACUAGAUGCAGAGUUGCCACAAACCUUUAAUUUGUUAAAAAAAAAAGAAAGAAAGAAAGAAAAA
rnacentral:lncRNA from 1 species